UACGGAGGGUGCAAGCGUUAUCCGGAUUCACUGGGUUUAAAGGGUGCGUAGGCGGACAGGAAAGUCCGUGGUGAAAUCCUGCAGCUUAACUGCAGAACUGCCGUGGAUACUCUCUGUCUUGAAUAUCGUGGAGGUGAGCGGAAUAUGUCAUGUAGCGGUGAAAUGCAUAGAGAUGACAUAGAACACCGAUUGCGAAGGCAGCUUACUACAGGAAUAUUGACACUGAUGCACGAAGCGUGGGGAUCAAACAGG
rnacentral:rRNA from 1 species